GGAAACUGGAACACUGGCAUUGUCUUCCCAAUGUGCAACUGAACUAUUCUGAAUUUUGGGGCAAGUUGACUAUUUCACCUGCCUCAAAUGAGUGGAAUCAUGCAGUACUGUCCUGUGACUGACUUCUUUCACUUAGCAAAAGGAAUAAAAUAGUUAUUUGAAAUUAAGGAAGACA